rnacentral:pre_miRNA from 1 species
UCUUAUGGAUGAGCAAAGGAAGUAGUUUCUUGAGAUGGAAUCUACUCCUGGUGAAGAUGCUGUGAA